rnacentral:rRNA from 1 species
GAUGAACGCUGGCGGCGUGCCUAAUACAUGCAAGUCGAGCGAACGGACGAGAAGCUUGCUUCUCUGAUGUUAGCGGCGGACGGGUGAGUAACACGUGGAUAACCUACCUAUAAGACUGGGAUAACUUCGGGAAACCGGAGCUAAUACCGGAUAAUAUUUUGAACCGCAUGGUUCAAAAGUGAAAGACGGUCUUGCUGUCACUUAUAGAUGGAUCCGCGCUGCAUUAGCUAGUUGGUAAGGUAACGGCUUACCAAGGCAACGAUGCAUAGCCGACCUGAGAGGGUGAUCGGCCACACUGGAACUGAGACACGGUCCAGACUCCUAAGGGAGGCAGCAGUAGGGAAUCUUCCGCAAUGGGCGAAAGCCUGACGGAGCAACGCCGCGUGAGUGAUGAAGGUCUUCGGAUCGUAAAACUCUGUUAUUAGGGAAAAACAUAUGUGUAAGUAACUGUGCACAUCUUGACGGUACCUAGUCAGAAAGCCACGGCUAACUACGUG